CCGACUGUUUAAUAAAAACAUAGGGAGCCGCCAGCCCGAAAGGGUUUGAACGGCUCCUGAAUCCUGGCCAGUGGGGGUCCCUGAAACCCGGGUCCAACCGGGCUAAGGGCCCCUAAACGCCGGGAGUAACUCUGACUCUCUUAAGGUAGCCAAAUGCCUUGUCGGGUAAGUUCCGACGUGCAUGAAUGGAUCAACGAGGGCCCCACUGUCCCCGCCUGGAACCCGGUGAACCUACGUAACGUGGACGAACAGUCCACGAACUCCCAGCGGGAAAAGAAGACCCCGUGGAGCUUUACUGCAGCCUGCCGCUGGAACACGGUUGCGGAUGCAGAGCGUAGACGGGAGCCGUCGAUCCCGGCUUCUCCGGGAGCCGGGGGAGGCGCCAAUGGAACACCGUCCUUCCGCGGCCGUGUUUCUAACCGGCGCCUUGAGCGCCGGGACAACGGUAGGUGGGCAGUUCGGCUGGGGCGGCACGCCCCUGAAAAGAUAUCAGGGGCGCCCAAAGGUCGGCUCAGACGGGUCAGAAACCCGUCGUAGAGUGCAAGGGCAAAAGCCGGCCUGACUGGAUCCUCCAAAGCAAGGGAUCCAGGGGCGAAAGCCGGGCCUAGCGAUCAUCCGUGUCCCCCUUGGUGGGGGCCGGAUGUGACAGAAAAGUUACCCCGGGGAUAACAGGCUCGUCGCGGGCGAGAGUCCCCAUCGACCCCGCGGUUUGGUACCUCGAUGUCGGCUCUUCCCAUCCUGGCCCUGCAUAAGGGGCCAAGGGUGAGGCUGCUCGCCUAUUAAAGGGGAACGUGAGCUGGGUUUAGACCGUCGUGAGACAGGUCGGACUUUAUCUGCUGGGGGUGCUGGCCGCCUGAGGGGAAAGCGUCCCCAGUACGAGAGGAACGGGACGCUGUGGCCUCUAGUUAACCGGUUGUCCGACAGGGCAGACGCCGGGCAGCCACGCCGCCGGGGAUAAGGGCUGAAAGCAUCUAAGCCCGAAGCCCCUCCCGAAAAUAGGCAGCCACUCCCACUUAUGGCUGGGCUGGCAACAGCCCGAGCCUGUGGGACGAGGGCUCCCGUAGAAGACGGGGUUGAUGGAGCCGGGGUGUAAGCUGGAAGGCUUCGGCCGACCAGCUCAGCCCGCGGCCCCCAAUCGCCCGAGGUGUCGGGCAC
rnacentral:rRNA from 1 species